rnacentral:rRNA from 1 species
UACGUAGGGCGCAAGCGUUGUCCGGAAUUAUUGGGCGUAAAGAGCUCGUAGGCGGCUUGUCACGUCGGAUGUGAAAGCCCGAGGCUUAACCUCGGGUCUGCAUUCGAUACGGGCUAGCUAGAGUGUGGUAGGGGAGAUCGGAAUUCCUGGUGUAGCGGUGAAAUGCGCAGAUAUCAGGAAGAACACCCGUGGCUAAGGCGGCUCUCUAGUACGGUACUGACGCUGAGACGCGAAAGCGUGGGGAGCGAACAGG